UAGGAAAAGUACAAUAAAUAUUACUAUUAUUAUUAUAAAAAUGAUGAUAUAAACACAUAGAUAUAACAGCAUUAGAGUUCAAAGGACAUAGAAAUAACUUUAAUCUGAAGGGUUAACAGAAACUUUAUGGAAGAGGUGGCAUUUGGAAGGAUUUCAUUUAUAAAUUGGGGAAAUAAUGUUUUACAAUAAAACUAAACAAAUAUGUAUUUGGGGAGCUCAUUUUUCAAGAAGGAGCAUAGAUAAAGGUAAAAAGUGAUAAAAUAGCAAGGUGCAGAGAACAUAAAAUUAUAAAAAUACAGGCUAUAUUAAAAAUAAAAACAGUAAAAAAUAAGGUUGGAGGACAUGCUGGAACCAAAUUUUUGAGAAUACUGGAUUCCCAGCUAAGAUGUAUGGACAUGGAGAACCAUGGGUUUUUGAGCAGAGGAUUAAGUGGCAAUUUGUUUAAGACCUGACACAGGUGUGAGAACAGAGCAUUCCAGGCAGAGACUGGCAAGUGUGAAAAUCUAGGUGCAGAAGACUGCCUGGCUUGUACUGGAGCAGAG